rnacentral:rRNA from 2 species
UGGGCUGUUCGCCCAUUAAAGCGGUACGCGAGCUGGGUUCAGAACGUCGUGAGACAGUUCGGUCCCUAUCCGUCGUGGGCGUAGGAAAUUUGAGAGGAGCUGUCCUUAGUACGAGAGGACCGGGAUGGACGCACCGCUGGUGUACCAGUUGUUCUGCCAAGGGCAUAGCUGGGUAGCUAUGUGCGGAAGGGAUAAGUGCUGAAAGCAUCUAAGCAUGAAGCCCCCCUCAAGAUGAGAUUUCCCAUAGCGUAAGCUAGUAAGAUCCCUGAAAGAUGAUCAGGUUGAUAGGUUCGAGGUGGAAGCAUGGUGACAUGUGGAGCUGACGAAUACUAAUAGAUCGAGGACUUAACCAUAUAA